GUUUAACGCUCCUGGAGUUCUCCCAGACACUUCGGUGAAGAGCCUCCUUGGCUAAUUCCCAGAAGUGUUUGGGUGGACUCUGGGAAUCGUUGAAC
rnacentral:pre_miRNA from 1 species